CAAAAAUAUUAAAGAUGGUAAUAUUUAGGUGAAAUGGAAUGUUUGCUCCAGCAGUACAUUGUGUGCUGUACUAACAUGACUGUUAUUUCUGUUACUAAUUUUAUUUUGUAGCAAUUUGCAAGUAUACAUGAGUUACAACCUGACAUUUUAUAUAAGUUGUGAUUUUUAAAAAAAGAGCUUUAAAUUAGUUAAGUUGGAUUGUUUUUUAUUAGUGCAUUGGUGGGGAAAAAGUGUUUGUACUCUCCAUUGUGUGGUUGAUCGCACUAAAUGAAAAACAGCUAUGUUUGAACAAAUGUAAAUUUACAAUUCUCUACUUUGUCUGUAGAUGAUAAGUGGAGGCUUUUUCUUUUUUUAACAGGCCAAUUUAUUCACCUUUGAAAAACUUAUUCUCUUUCUGCUACAAACUUCCUGCGUGACCAUGCACAAGUCACUUAAGACCUAAUUAUCAAAGAGAUUGUGAACCUGUAGUUCUCAUUAAUUUCAUUUAAGUCAGUGGUGCUCAGUACUUCUGAAAAUCGCAAAAGCCUGAAAACUAGAAGAUUUGCCAGAAUAAAAACUACCAUUUACACUUGGAGGGUCCCCCACAUGCGUGAAUCUUUUCUCUCCAACACAGCAUGGAUAUCUCAGAUUCUCUGCAGAACAGGAAUGACUGAAUAUGAAAAGAGUGAGGGCACAUGGGUCAAGGAAAGUGCAGAGCAAAGUGAAUCAUUUCUUAAAACAUUUUAAAGAUUGAUUUCUGGGAAACUUUUAAUCCUGAGUAGUCCCUGGCUCCAUUUGAGCUGGAAAAAUAGUAGAAGUCCAAGAAGAAUGCCCUCCUUAAGUUAUGAUCCCUUAACAUUGCUUCUUUAUGUGUAUCUAUGAAACUGUCCUUAAUUACAUGACCAGAUAUUGUAAUAUAUGAAGCUUAAUGUCAGAAAUCUUGUCUGCAACUUUAUAUACUCAUGUAGUUCUGUGUACUUCUCCAUGUCUGCAAAAUAAAAUAAAAUAAAAUGGUUUAUAUGAAUAGUACACAGUACCCCCCUACUUUUACAGCAUAGUAGAGGUGAAAUAUAUUUUUUUACAAAGGCAAAAUUUUUAUAUUAAAUGAAGAGAAGAAAUGUUAAAUUUAUUAAGGAUCCUGAGAUAGCCAAUAAUGGGAUCUUCAUGGCUGUUGUUGUACUCAACCAAGAACUAGUUCAUAAAUCAAGAUUCAAGGUCCAAGUAGGCCAUACCUUCUUAGUCCACGAGCUACUAUUUUCUUCCAUGCUAGAAUCAUAGAACUGGACGGAACAACAAGAGGUCAUCAAGUCCAGUCCCCUGCACUCAUGGCAGGAACAAGCACCAUCUAGAUUUCUUGACCAUCUCCGAGAUGUGUUUGUCUAACCUCUUCUUAAAAAUAUCCAAUAAUGGAGA